GUCAAAAUAUGACCAUGCUAGGGGAGAAAAAUGUUAUCUGGUAACUAAGGAGCAGAAGUUGCUAUGAACUUGUUUAUUCAUUGUUAAAAUGCCGAGUGUGGGAGAUGGCAAAGUAGAGUUUCCCAAGUGAAGAAAUCAUCGGCCAAGAAUACUUCCUGUAAAACAAGAUAUCUAAUUGAGUUUUUUUAAUUUGAAAAUACAAAUAAAUUCAUUAUUUAUUGACAACUAAAAGUUCAAAUGCACAAAGAAAUUGAAUGUAAAAAAGGGUUCUCAACUUCAACUCCUCCACUCAGAUAACAAAAUACUUUUAACAAAAUACUACUUUAAGAUAUAUAAUUUGAAGAGAUUCACAAAUAACCAUCGAGGCACCAUCACCUAAUUGUUGUCUCUUGAAAAAAAAAGUUAUUUUUCUGGUGAAAAUUGAAAAUUGAAAAAACAAAUAUAUAUUAAAAUGUCACUACUAUCAAAAGAAGGGAAGAAAGAAUCCCAUCUUGCAUGCUCAAUACACAUCAAGAAUAGAUUCAUGUUAUCCUUUCUGCAAUAACUCACCAUUUUUGGUCCCCUUCUUGUUAUUCCCACUAUCUCUCAUCAAGACCCAGUUAUUUUCUGGCA
rnacentral:lncRNA from 1 species